CAGUCGCCACGGGAAUACGUAGGGUGCAAGCGUUAAUCGGAAUUACUGGGCGUAAAGCGUGCGCAGGCGGUUUGUUAAGACAGAUGUGAAAUCCCCGGGCUCAACCUGGGAACUGCAUUUGUGACUGGCAAGCUAGAGUAUGGCAGAGGGGGGUGGAAUUCCGCGUGUAGCAGUGAAAUGCGUAGAUAUGCGGAGGAACACCGAUGGCGAAGGCAGCCCCCUGGGCCAAUACUGACGCUCAUGCACGAAAGCGUGUGGAGCAAACAGGAUUAGAUACCCCGGUAGUCCCUGUCUCUUAUAC
rnacentral:rRNA from 1 species